rnacentral:misc_RNA from 1 species
AAGGAGUUCUGUCUACUCGGGCAGCCUCUAUGCUGGAAGCUGAACGGGAUUCAAAAAAGAAGUGGAUCCCUGUCGUUGAAAUGAAAUACAGGGGAGGUAUAUACAGAGGUCGCAUUGAAGGAGGCCUCCCAGAAGGAAAGGGCUGCCUGUCUCUUGAAGAUGGAAGCAAAUACGAUGGUAUGUGGCGCUACGGGAAGAAGUCAGGGUUGGGUACAUUUUACUUCAAUAACGGUGAUACUUAUCGGGGUUCAUGGAGAG